rnacentral:rRNA from 1 species
AACGUAGGAGACAAACGUUAUCCGGAAUUACUGGGCGUAAAGGGCGUGCAGGUGGUCUGUUAAGUCUGGCGUGAAAGCUCCCGGCUAAACCGGGAGAGGUCGUUGGAUACUGGCGGACUAGAGGACGGUAGAGGCGUGUGGAAUUCCGGGUGUAGUGGUGAAAUGCGUAGAGAUCCGGAGGAACACCAGUGGCGAAGGCGACACGCUGGGCCGUACCUGACACUAAGAAGCGACAGCAUGGGGAGCGAACGGG